CUUUGUUAGGAAGCUUAUUGUCUGAAAUUUCACAAACAUUUCAUAAACAUUUCAUAAAAUUGUCUAAAUACUUUUAUUUUGGCAAGACGUGCUAAAAAGAUUUCGAACUUACAUUAUUAUCUGUAUUGCAAAGGUUCUAGACUUUUUGGGAUUACUUUUGAUAAUCUAAAAGGCUUGCUCGAUGAAGAGAAAGAAAUUGAGUCUUUGCCACAAACUCUGAUUUUUUAAUCCCUUUAUCUUCAGAACUCAACGUCGUAGGCCUUAGAUAUUUCAAACUAUGAAUUUAGUUCAAGUGAUCUAAGUUUGAAAUAUAAAAGGCUUACACAAUUAGAUUGGCAAGAUACAAGCAUUAGAAAAUUUGAGUUUGUGACAAAAACUCAAUUCCUUUCUGACCAAAAUCUUUAUUACACUGCGAACCAAAACAAUAGUUUUAUUGUGGUUAUCUAUCAAUGAAGAAGAGAAAAUAUAAAAUAUAAAAAGGUUUGAAUGAAGAAAAUGUUGAACUAUUUUUCUUCAAUUUGUUGUUUACUUUUUUGAGAGAUUGUAAACAAACUAUCAAGGAUGGAAAUAAAGGAAAUAUUAUGAGCCGCCGAGACCAACAGGGUUGGAUUGGACCGGGAGCAAGGUUGGAUUAAACCAGAAGCAAGGUUGGAUUGGACAAAGAGAAGGGUUGAAUUGGACAAAGAGAAGAGUUGGAUCGGACCCGGAGCAAGGUUGGAUUGGACAAAGAGAAGGGUUGGAUUGGACCAGGAGCAAGGUUUGAUUGGACCAGGAGAAGGGUUGGAUUGGACCAGAAGCAAGGUUGGAUUAGACAAGGAGCAAGGUUGGAUUAGACAAGGAGCAAGGUUGGAUUAGACAAGGAGACGGGUUUGAGUUGACCAGGAUGCAGAACAGUUCCAAGAUGAACAGUAUCAGUUUGGAGGAGGAGAUGACAGAGUUCAUUAACAACCAGAACUGUCCGUUCCUGUUUACAGAGCUACUGGAGCUAACGGAAUAUUCGGACGGAGUCAGGGAA